rnacentral:sRNA from 1 species
GCCAGGCACAGUGGCGCAUGCCUGUAAUCCCAGUGGCUCUGGAGGCUGAGGCAGGAGGAUCGUGAAUUCAAAGCCAGCCUCAGUAAAAGUGAAGUGCUAAGCAACUCAGUGAGACCCUGUCUCUA